rnacentral:rRNA from 1 species
AGCGAACGCUAGCGGCGGGCCUAACACAUGCAAGUCGAGCGCAUACCUUCGGGUAUGAGCGGCGGACGGGUGAGUAACGCGUAGGUCAUCUACCCUUUGGUGGGGGAUAACCCAGGGAAACUUGGGCUAAUACCGCACGAGGUCCACGGAUCAAAGCCUUCGGGCGCCAGAGGAUGAGCCUGCGUCGCAUUACCUAGUUGGCGGGGUAACGGCCCACCAAGGGGACGAUGCGUAGCUGGUCUGAGAGGAUGAUCAGCCACACUGGGACUGAGACACGGCCCAGACUCCUACGGGAGGCAGCAGUGGGGAAUAUUGCGCAAUGGGGGAAACCCUGACGCAGCCACGCCGCGUGGGUGAUGAAGGCCUUCGGGUUGUAAAGCCCUGUCGGGAGGGACGAAUUCUUGACGGUACCUCCAAAGAAAGCACCGGCUAACUCCGUGCCAGC